UGCGCGACAACAUGAUAACUGUAUUAAGGAACAGACAAUUCACUGGUUUGUCGAACUUGGUCAACUUGGAUCUACACAAUAACAGUAUAAGCACAAUAGAGGACAAUGCAUUCGUUAAUUUGACGAAAAUAUACGAAAUAUAUCUGCAGGAAAACAGAAUAACCACAACAAAGAACGGCACCUUCAAUGGCCUGACGGCAUUACGAACUUUG